CCUUUUGCUAAUUGCCAGGCUGUUCGUUCACAUCAGGAGGCGGCUCAAAGUUCAGGAAAUCAACGUGCAUUUGGGGGGCCAGAAUCUGAACCCAGAAGAACAGUCUUGUGUUUUUCUUACCACUGAAAAAUGUAAAUAUCGUUGGUGCAAUGUUCACUCAUUAUCGUUGAAUCAAAGAGCAUUCCCAGCUCCUGCUGGAAUCACAUGGAAAAAAAUACAGAUCUCUCUUCCCAUUACAGACACGCCUUGCUGUGUGAAUGGGCGAUACUUACUGGAUGCUAGCAUCUCACAUCCUCAUUGGUGAGCUGCCCUAUUUCAGGGCUGUUUGUAUUAGGCAAUAGGCUAGUAGAAUCAUUAACAUGCAAAUAGAAUUAUUUACCUGAAGAAUGAAACACAUGAUUAAAAUGGCAGAGGUUUAUAGAGGGGGUGAAACCACAUUACAUAGGUGAGACACUGUGGUUUGAGGCAGAUGAGCUUCGCUAGGGAUGAAUGACAGGGCUGAAGUGCACAUGUAAAAGUAAUCAGAAUUCCUGUGCGAAGUGACACUGAUAUAUUCUGAAUGUCACGUUACACUGCAUAGUGCUGUGCUCGCUCCAAAAAUGCCCUUUAAUUAUAGUUGCUCCAGCCUUAGAAUCACAAAAGUCAAACAGAGUGGAGGUGGGCACCAUUUAGGCAACGUAAAUCAAGUUGCUGAAGGUGCUAUGUAAAAAGGAUGUUCACCUCCCAGAUAAUUUAGUAAGACUUACCUGUGACUUUUAACUACGUAUAGGUCUAUUUAAGGCUAACAGUUAGCCAAAGCUCAGUUUCUGAAUUAAACAGGACAGUUCCACCCAUGGUUGGUCAAGCGUCAUGGAGAAUGCAACCUGUGCCUGGCUGUUUAGGCAAAAAAAAAAAAAUCUUUCCUUGAGCUCUUUCCUCCCAGUUUUCUUUUCAAGAGUUGGCACAGAAGAAAGUACCUUAAAAAAGAGAACACCAAACAGGGCAGAAUUUCAAGCAGAAUAACUGAAAAGCUCUCCUGAGCUGCAGCCACACACAGUCGCACACUCGUGACUGUUCUAAGAUUCCUCCAGCACAAAGUUUGCUGACUUUUUUUUUGGUGGUGUUCUCUUUCUUUCCCAUGGCACCAACAGAUUUAUCAACAGGUCUCUGAAGAGUGAUGUUAGAUUGGACAUCACCUCGGAUGCUGGUUUUCUUUCAUCCCCACAAGCAGGGGAUGUGUUUGUCAAAGGCCUUCGGACUGACAUUCUCAAUAACAGCAGGUGUAUGUGCCAUAAUUUACCAUUAAUGAACAGGAAUGUGGUAUUUCAAGUGUGCUACGUUACAGUGAGGUAGAUGUUUUGAAAAUUACUUUGUGGCUAUUUGAAAUUAAACGACUCAUCCCUCUGCUGCCGCUCAAAAGGUAGGGCUGCUGAAAUGCCUGCUCCUGCAUCACCUGCUCCUUACCUUUACAGGGAUCACCAUUUCUGUUUUUUUUUAAAUGAGACAUUUCUCACGUGGAGAGGGAAAGAACAGAACAUCUGCUUUCAUAAAGUGGUCUUUUUUGCUUGUGUUAUGGUGACAGAUGUUAAAAAUUCGGGACAACCAUGUGUGGGUGAGCGGCACCCUGGGAUGCACCUCUGUGAUCCAUGCACACCAUGUCUUCUUCUAAUUUGAGUUUUUUUUAGGUGGAAACUGUUUCUGCACCCACACUUGAAGUGUUGCGCAAUAGAAUAAUGGAUGUGUAAUGGUUUCUUUCCUGGAAGAGCAACAGUUCGUUUUAGUUGAGGAACCUGGAGCCAUGCAUAAAGGCUCAUGUUCGCUCCUUCUCCCUUUCUCUCUCUUUUUUUUUUCAUUAAAUAUCUUUUUGCUCUUAUAGUGCCAAAGGAAAAAUUCAGUUGGAGCUGAGUCUCUGCACAAAAUACAAGAGGUUUGCUGGAGUCCCCUGCUGUGCAGGGAAGAAGCAUCAGCUGAUUGAUCCACCAUAUCAUUUUACUUUCGCCCAAGAUUUCACAGCCUUAAAUGUCUUUGUCUGUAAAGAUCUUAAAGCUGGUGUAAAUAUGAUUGAGGUUUUACACUGGAAAAGAAAAUCAAAUGUAAGCUUUAAGGGAAAGAGGUAUGUGUGUGGAGGAAGCCAGUAGCUGGAUUUGUUUCUCAAUCCGUGAGCGUGCUUGCAUUUUGCUAUUUUGGACACCUCCAAGUGAGAGGCUUUGCAAGUGUUCCCCUUUCCUCCUAAUGAACCUCAAUUUACCAAAUUUGUGCCUUGUUUGGGUUGGAAAGUGCUCGCUACUCUGUACAUUGGCCCUGUCACGCUGCAUGGCUCCAGCCCCAGCCUUUUGUGCUGUAUGCUUUCAGAUGGAUGGCUUUUUCCAUCAUACAUCAUGGCCGUGACAGCAGGCUGAUGAUCUACAACUCCGAGCACUGUAGCUCUGAUGAUGUGGCUGUGGCUGCAGUAAUAAUGUGGGCCUAUUCCUGGGAGAGCAAUGCUGUGCUGGGCUUUUUUUAAAGGUGAAGAAAAAGGCUUAAAUCCCCUCCUGUUUGCUAUCUGCAACCCUCCCUAAAGCCCCAGAUCAGUGGGAAAAAAAAAGAAAAAUUAAUCCAUCUUCUGUGGAAACAUCAGCACUGGUGAAUGAGAGAGCUCUGAUUUAGAUGCUGGGCAGGAUAUGACAAAAGCCAGCUUUGUAAAUAAAGAUUUGGGUCUCUCACCCAGUGGGUGAAUAUGGUGGGAUGGGGGAAGAACAAACGUGUCUCCUGCACAGCUGUGGCUCGAUCAGUGCUUGUGGUUCUUCCAUAGGCUCUCCUCUCUUGUCUUUCUCAAAACUCUGGCUCCUGGAGGCAAGGGAGUCUGUUAAAUCACAUGGUUCUGAAGUAAAUGAACAUCUUUCUUCUUCAGAAGGAGAUGUAACCUCUCCAAAUCAUGGCAUCGGUUACCCACAGAGCUUCAGAAAUAAAUAAAAAGGCCGAGGAGGAAAAAAACUUGAAUUUUAUCAUUACUGUAUUACUGUAACGGAUUUAAAACCAUUCUACUGAUGUAGGGUUGAGUCCCGAUGCUGGAUUAUGUGAGCUAAUAAUGGCACUGGAUUUAGACCCUUGCCUGACUGUUGCUGACAGGGCUGAGCUCUUUGCCUCUCACUCCAUCUCCCUAGGGCCUUGCCAGAAAUGCAGUUUCUGAUGGGCUGCAUCUGCUGCCAUAGAACAUGUAUGUUUGAGUUAAGGUUAAAGGCUUUUAGCAAGUGAAUGCAAAAUCAGCCUCUGAAUCAGCCUAAAAGUGAAGUUGUUCUACCUUUCCUCUGGCAAAUGAAACAGAAAAUGCACUAGCAGACACAUUUAAUAGUGUUAAUUAAGCUACAGCUGUUUGCAGGGGACCUUAAGGAUCUCUGCUGGCAGAGGUAAGUUUUCAACUAAAAUAGACAGAUUUAGAUUAGCUGUAAGGAAGAAAUUUUUCACUGUGAGCUGGUGAGGCCUUGGCAUAAGUACCCAGAGAAGCUGCGGAUGACCCAUCCCUGGAAGUGUUAAAGGCCAGGUUGGAUGGGGCCUUGGAUAACUGCAAUAGGGGAUUUGAUCUGGAUGUUCUUUAAGGUGCCUUCCAAUUCAAGCUGUUCCAUGGCUCUGUUUCUAUGAAGCCGAGGUACCAGCUCUGUAGCAAAAGCUCUGCUUUAUUUUUUUAGGUGUUCUCACUAAAGUUUUCCUUUCUCACUAAAGUUUUCCCUUCUGUGCAGCCUGCUCUCUCUGAGACACCUUGUUGUCCUCACGAACAUUUUGGCAGAGCUGAUGCUCAGUGCAUUGGCAGUGACCUCCAGCCUGGCUGCUGGUGGGCUGCUCAGGUACCUUCCCCAUUGCCUUUGGCUCCCGGUGCCUAGUCUCUCCUAGCAUCCCUGAGCCAGUGGCUACUGGCCAAGCUCCUUUGACACUGUCCACUCUCCAGGUUUCUUGCUCCAUUACACGGUCCACCUUUGAGUUAAGUUUUCCCUCAUAUUUAACCUAUUUUUUGCCUACAACAGUUAAAGCCAUUAGUUCCUGUUCUGUCCUCUUUGACUAAUGAGAAUUGGUCCCAAUCCUCUUUAUAAUGUCCCUUAACAUACUCGUAGACAGUUAUGUGUCCCUUCAGCCCUCUCUUCUCCAGACUGAACAUGCCCAGCUCUCUUUGUCUUUCCCUCACAGGCCCUGUUUCCAAACCCUUUAUCACCUUCGUUGCUUUCCCAUGAGCUCUUCUUCCCAAUUAAUCCUUUUAAAAAUGUGCUGCCCCAUACUGAACACAGUGCACCAUUGCCUCUGCUGCUGAAGGAGAGCAGCAGCAUUAGCAUAAUUAUCUCGCCUGGUUUUCCCACAGCUCUGCUAUUAACCAUUUUAUUUCUGGGACACCUUGCCUGGCUGCUCAAGCAAGAAGGAGAGUACCGCAAGCAGGGAAGAGCUCUAGGGACCCGCUGCCCCACAGAAGUGGUUCCAGGAGGAGCUGGUGGUGGUCUACCUGCAGGUGGGACACUGUCCACACUGGGCACCAGACUGGGCAAAGCAGGUUGUUGGCGGGGAAGUCGGCUUUGAAUCAGCAUCUGCAAGGAGAGUUUGCACGAUCCAGAGUCAUGGCUGUGGCUGUGUCACCCCGCAGAGCCCAUCUCACCCAGCUCACCAGGCUUCUGCUGCUUUGGUGGGUUUCACAGUGACCUCCAGAUCGCACAGUGGAACAGCACGACUCCCAGCAUUUUCUGCUGAUGUGUUGCAGCAGCACAUUUCAUUAUUCUCCACCCUGCAGAAUACACUGCUUGGCUGUGUUGAAUCUCACUGCGCUUCUUUAAUUUAUCUCCCAAACACCACGUUAUACUUUAAUCCUGUCCUUCUAGAUAUUUGCAUAUCCUCCUUGGUUUGAACAGUGCCUAAAUGCAGGCUGGCUCUUAAAGGCACAGAGAGAUUUGCACGGCUGCCUGUGCCAAGAGCUGCUAAUGAAAGCACCAAUGAGCAUGGGAGUAUAAACUCACCACCUGUGGAGUCUUGUUUGGCAUCCUCAUUCAGCCUAAUAAAGAAUCAUUCAUGUUUAAUUGCUACAUUUGAUUGUUUAAUUACGGUUAUUUUACAUGCCAUCUUGUUUUGUCUUGGCUUUAGACGCUAUCUGCUACCUUACCCUUUCUGAAUAGUGAAUUAUACUACAAGAGAAAAUCAGAACUAGAACUAGUCCUUUAAACUGCAAUCAGGUUGUUUUUUUCUCUUUUUAAAAAAGCUGUUCAUAAAACCCUUUCUGUUUGACAUUGCUCUAUAGAUUCAAAUCCAGGGUGGUUUUUUAUUUUUUUUUCCGUGCAGCAAGAAUUAUACGAGUAACUUUUUCAAAUGCUCUUGCAGGGCUAUGAUGUGGGUAGCUUCAUCUUCUCACUGAGGUUUUAUCAAAUUAAGUUUACUUUGUUUAAAUGUCAAUUCAUCUUAACAAUUGCAAGAUUGUUUUUUUUGGCAGAGGCUUAACUUGGCAUAAAAUUAGUUUAUUGCGGGUUCACUUAGUUCAGCAAUGCUAUAACUUCAAAUCAAUACAAAUCUGUCCUAAAACUUCAGUAAGAUGGUCUGCUUGCAAAUCUGGCUCCUCUUUAAAAGAAUGGAAAGGAAGCCAGGACCUGCCCCAUGUUUCUCCAGCUGUGCAAUUUUGUUGCCCAUCCUGUGCUGGUGGUCUCUUCUGUCUGAUGACCAACCUUCCCUGGGCGAACUGCUUCCUCAUGCACUCUCCUCUGUCUCUCAGUUUGGAAAUGAGCUGCCUUUCACUUAUGUUUCAGCACGACAAGCUCCCUUUUAAUUAACGUGCUUAAUGACUCCAGAAACAACAGCACACCUCUGGUUCACUUAUGAUCCUUUCUUGGAUAUUGUUGCAUGGUGAGCUGUCCCAGGCUCCAUUUGGCUUUAUGGGCAGCACAAGGUAGCACUCAUCUGUUCUGAGCCCUCCUGGUUCUGCUCUUGUCCCUCGAUGCAUCUCUGUCCCCAGAUUUCUAUGCACCAGGGUGUGCUGUGCUCCAUCUUGCUGGUAUGUGCAUCUUUUUCCUUUCUUUAUCCAUCAAAUUGCCUGGCAUUGGUCAGUCACCAUUGCUAGGGCACAGGUCUCUGACAGAUCUGUGUAGAAGCAGCUGAAGAGAUGCCCAAGUCUACAGGAGAACCACCUAUCCUUUCUGUCCUCUUUUCCUUCAAUAUUAUGACCUUCCCAAGUCUUCCUCCCUGCAGCCAAUGGACGUUCUCAGGAGCCUCUGAAUUAGCUCCUUCCCAUGGAGAGUGAUGUUCCUAGUGUGACACCAUUUUCUCUGGUUUGCUUGUUCCCUUUCUCUAUGACCAACAUAGACCCAAGAGGAGGAGGAGGGCCUCCCUUUCACUGCUGCCUUCAUUCCUGCAUUACUAAUGCCUAAAUCUGUCUCCAAGCAGUUUGCUCUGCCCACCCAGAAGAGAGGUGACCUUUGGAUAUUGCUCUUUAACCAAGAUGUUUAAUUGGAGAAAACUAGCAACUAGUGUCCAAGAUUUAGAGAAAAAAUAUGGAAAAAGCAUUUAUCAAAUAAUAAAAAGAGGAACUAAAUUCAAGCCAUUGUGCUCUGCCUGGGUUCUUGCCUUAGAAAAAAAGAAAGAAAAAAGGUGAGCUGAAUUGCUGAAGGACAGCUGAAAGCAGUUAUUUCCCUGCUUGGAGGCUGUAAGGGAUUUCCCUUUGGAUGGCUCACAGGCUCCUUCCCAGGAAAUUCUCCCCUUGCUUUUACUGCUGUCUUGCCUUUUUCCAUCUUGCCUUUUUCAGCUAGGAAAUGACCUGCCACCCAAGUGCUUUUUUUUAGGGCAAUUUCAGCUACUUCUUGUUCACUUAGGGGUUUGGAAAAUAUCAGGCUUAUGUACUAAAAUCAGUUUAAAGCGCUUUGCAAGAAUAUGGUACAGGAAUACGAAAUCAUUAUUCAUCAUUUGACCAGAUAUGAAAAUAAUCCUCACUCAUAACUAGCUUCUGAAAAUGGCCAGCGUAAUUUUUAUACGUGCAAUAACAAAGUAGGAAGCGACUGCUAUUUCUGCAGCAGACAAGGAGCAUCUCACUGAGACAAAGCUACAGCGAAGCAGGCAAUUUUCAGUCCUUUUCAGCAAGCUUUCUAUAUCCUUUCUUGCCUUUGCACUCACAGAAAGCCAAUUUUCCGUGUCCCUACUACACACAAAAUGGGGCAAGAUUUUAAAGAUACAGCUCUGCUCUAUUUGACUGCAGCAGACUGAAAGAAAAAUGAAGUUCAGUACUUAACCGAUCCCUUUGCAAUAUUUCAGGGUAAAUUAAAAAUCAAAAUGUCAAGAGGUUCAAUAUGUCAGUGGGCUUUUUGACAGGGCGGCUACUUUGAAACCUAAAUGAGAACUGUGCUGCUUUUAAAAACUGGAACCAAAUGUGUGCAGCUGCUGCGCCAUUUAGAAAUUCUGGCCCCUCAUCUUUUUUUCUUUUUUCUUACAUAAUAAAAUUAGUAAAAUAUUCUGGCUUCUGUUCUACUUGUUUUCAGAGUGGAAAGCCUCCACUUCAUAGAGUAGAUGGCUAUUUACGAGACUGGUUAGUUUUCAUUAUCUGCAUAAAGGUGAAGCCCGGCAGCAUUACCCUCUUGCCUCGUGUACCAUUGAGCAAGCCCAUCUUUGCUGCCCCCAGUGCAUUUAUCUCUCGUGGCCCUCGACAAACCAUUUUUUUGUUUUGCCAUCUCAGUUCGUCUUUGUAAAACAGGGAAGAUAAUAAAUGAUACUACUUACCUUCUUCAGAGAGAUGUGGUGAAGAUUAAUUACUCCUUGUUUAUACAAAGAUUGGCAAUAGUGAUCUGCAGGUUUGCUAAGCACUGGGAUGAUUGCUAUCGCUGCCUCUACUGACAAAGAAGCACAGCCAAGGACAGGAGCUGGUGCCACUGCAAUCAUUUACAGGACCAAUGAUAGCUGUGGCCUUGAAGAAAACUCUACCAAAUAUUUUGCAUCUAGGAAGAGGAGGAAAUGCAUACCGGCAGGGCCAUGGCACCUCUGGACUCUCCUCAAGUGGGCACCUCCAGUCCAGUCCCUGUCGCAAACCCUUCCGUGUGUGGGAGAAGUAUGCACAUAGGCAAUCUGAAAGCUUAUUCAGAGCCAACUAUUUCCUUCUGAACUUCGCUUUGGAUGCAGAGAUGGACUUAGCCUCUCACAUACGUCUUUGCCAGAAGUUGCUGCACGCAUGCAUCGUGCCACAGCAAAUUGGCACCUUUCGCUUUGGCCUGCUGUGUUAGAUAGACACUUGCAGGCAGUCCUGUCGGCAGGUUAGACUAUUUUCAUAGUAAUGCAGCCAGAGUGAAAUGUGUUUUUCCCCACAGCUGUCCAAUUUGCUCUUGCUGGUGCUCUGAGCAUUGCUGGUUUGCCUGGUGUGUUUGCUGCAGGCGGGGCUGUCUGUGCAUGAAAUGACGGCAGGCUUUGCUGGCCUCAACUUGUCGUCUUCCCCCACUUGGCUACAGCUUUCUGUAGUCUGUGGUUAUCGCUUUUCACUUCACUCAGUAAUUUCUCCUGCUUUGACAGCUGCCCCAGCCCUCCCGUGCCGCUUGCAAGGAGGAGAGGACACAUCCAUUGGCGAUGAGGCAGCAGGUUCCCAGAAAAGCCCAUCCUUCAAUGACUGACAAUUACAAGAUCCCCCUCUUGCUAUUGUUCAGACAAACCCCAGGACCUAACUUCACCCUUCUUUCCUGACCACACAGCUAUGUACUGUUGUGCUGGCCCUCUCCAGCCCGCGACCUGCUUACCUUGGUCCUGAAGCACACAUCUAUAGGUACAGGUGGCAGCAAUCAGAGGAAAACACCCAGCCAAUUCUGACUGCUCAGCAACUCCAUGCACACUGUAACAAAAGCAAUGGCUGAUCAAAAUUCCUCAUUUUGUUGUGAUUCGCUUUCUCAGCAAGUCAGGUUCAGUUACUGUAGUGGACAGUUCUGCUGGUAAGAGGUCAAAGUCAACAGUCCACAAGUCUGUGCUAGGCUACUGGCGACCCUCUAGAGUUGUGUAAGUUGAAGGGAAGGCUGUAUGUGGAGUAAUUUGCAUUGCAGUGCAUGUGCAGGUGAGAGUGCAAUAUGACAGGAGAUGUCAUACUUGAGAUUAGAAUUUACACUCACAGCCUUAGUCAGAUUUGUGUUUGAGAAACUAUGGUGCUCUGGAAAAAGAUUACUAGUCAUCUGAUAAUUUUCUAUUGUUUGUAUCCAGUAAAUAUCCCUUUAGUUUCCUAUUUCCAGUUAAGAUUAAUUUUCUGAUCAAAGAAAGUUUGAUCAGAAGUGCACAGACAGCACAAGAGCAGCAAUAUUACAUGGCUGGAGGAUAUGUGUUGUGUCUUUGACUCUGAAGGAAAGCCAGCCAGGAGGGGAAGAUGAUGGCUUCUAGUAGAAGCUCUGCAAUAAAUAAUAACUCUCUGGGUUUGGAAAAGAGUUAUUUUUAUAUAUUUCCUUCCUGCUGUCAAUCAGAGGAGUCCUUUCUUCAUUUCUGAAGUAGAGUCAGUCUUUGUUUUAUCGUUGGGGUGCUUUGGUUGAAAUCCUGUGCUAAUUUCCAUUGUUUCUAUUUUGAUUUCUUAGAGCAGUCCAACAGAGAUGAGUGCUACUGCGCCCUUUGUCCUGCUGCUCUUGGCAGUGGUAACAAGACCUGUCUCCAUCCUCCCAGGCUCUGCCUCAUCCCAUGCAGCAGACAAGUCCCUUCUCUUCCCCUCCAUCCUGCUCAGUCCUGCUAGAUCAGCUUUCCCUUUUGCAUGUGGAGCCUCUCACCAUGCACACUCUCAGUCGUUCCCACCACCAGCAAUAUCACCUUUCUCACUCCUUCCCUGCAACCCUGCUAAAUAUCUGCCACUUCACAGUGUGUGCAGGCUGGGUGGUUUGUUGCUGAUAUCUGGCUCCAAACGGAGGCAUCGCUCUCAGAGUAUUUCCAGCACCAUCUGCCGCCUUCCUUUAUUUCAGUUUCUAGAAGGGGUUUUGCUGUAGCUGAGAGACAGAGGAGGAAUCUGGAUACGGCUGACACAAAUCCCAGAAAACGUUUGUCUGUUUGCCUUACACGCUAAUUAGUGCCGACGUGGUCAAAAGUGCUCUGAACUUUUAUUUAUUUAUUUUUCUCCUUUCUUGAGCAUCUAUCACCAUGACAGCAACGCGCUCCAACCGCAGGAAAUUAAAACACCCGACACAAGCAGCUAAUCAAAUGCAGAAGCAAACAGAAGAAUUUUGCACAGAGCUCUCGGUGUCAUUCCGAUCCCGCUUUGACGGGCAGCAGAGUUUCUGCGGGGAAAAAGAAAUGUUUUGUUUGCUUCAAAUUCCCUUUUCCCUUGGAAGCGUAAACGUGAAAUUACUCUCUCCUCCUCCAUUGGGAUGUCUUAUUUAUUUUCCUGCUGGUGGCUGUUAAAGGAGACGCGGUUCAAUUAUGCCCUGGGUUGAAUUAAUGGCUCACACAGCUCAGUGUGCGUGUUCUGGUGUAGUCUUACCCACAUGAAGGGGCUGGUGGGGCUUUUGUGGGGCAAGGGAAAGCCCUGCAGGAGAAGAGCUCCUUGCAGUCCUCUUGAAUCUCUGACAUAUGUUUGGUUGUAGGAUCCAGAGUAGACCUCACAUCUGGGCUGAGUGAAGCUUUUUAUUUUCUGACAUGCUGAGUUUGUCCAUCUCAGUCUGGACCCUAUUAGAAACUUCAGUUAGAAGUCUGCUAACUUCCCUUGAAUGCCGUCACUCAAUCACCACCUUAUACUAGUCUUCAGAUGCCUUAUUUAGAGGAGAAUGGAGUUUUACCACGAAUAACUUGGUUGAUUCCCCUUGCACCUACAUUUGUUUUGUUUGUAUUCUUCUUUGUUGACAGUUCAAGCACGUAAGUACCCCCCAAGGAGCAUCCUGAAAGACUUUUCUCCUCUUUGUCUUUCCUUAGCAUUGAAAACUGGACUGCAUUAUUUUUUACAAGCACUGAUAAAAUAUUAGCCAUGUGAACAAGCCAAGGUGCCAAGCAGUUCUGUACUCAGUGUCUGCCCUUCCACCCAGAUACAUACAGGAGAAAGCAAUUCAGCAGUGGUCUUUUUUCCAUCAGUAAUGAAUGAAUUUGUCUCUUUUUUAGUUCUCCCUCCAGCUUUUUGAGUUAUGUAGCUGAUACCGCCAAAAGCACUCAAUUUACUGUGGGGCCCUUGUAAACAAGCAAUGUAUUUCUUGCCAUAAGGGCACAGCAAGGUUAAAUACUGAAUACCACUGGAUAAGAUUUUGCAGACAUUUUGGGUAUGCAGAGCCAUGAAAGCGCCUGAGGCUGUCAUCAGAUCCACCUGGAAUCCAUAAUCAGGAUAAGUGAGAUGAUUGUCUUUGUUUUUCAUAAUUUGAGGAGUGACUCCCAACUAUUUCAUCCCAUAAUGUCCUGCUGAAACUUCUGUUUUGUGGAUGCAGCGAGGCAGCCUCUGCUUGCUUUGAUUUUAUUUCAUGGCAUUUUUCUCUUGCCUUUGCUUUAUGUUUAUAGUUGCCAGCAUAGUGGCUGCUAUUUUUAAAGAUUUUUUUUUCCUUGCUUGCUUUAAAAUGAUUUGUUAGUAUAGAGUAUGAUGUAUUUUAAAUGGCUAAAGAAGAGCACACCAGGUGUAGAUUCAAUAUAAAUUGAUUUGAGACUGCAGCAACCACAGUACCUUCAUCUGCUCUAACCAGAAGAGGUCAUAGUUUCUAAAGUAGUGAGUGUGAGCACCUGAGAAAUACUCACUAUUGGUCAAGUUUAGGUUACAGCCUGUAGAAGUUAUUCUCUGGCCUGUAGCUAUUUACAGUUUUCUGCACUUGGAAAUAAAUCCCACUCAAUUGAGGAGAAUGACUUUGUGAACCCUAGAGAGGAUACUGCGUUGGGAACCUGUAUAAGCAUAAUCACAUAGCACUUGUUAAAACAGGAGGAGCCCCUAAAAGGCUUCGGCUGCACAAGGGGUGGGUGGUGCUCACAAGUGCUGCUAAGGGCGAUGGGCUCUAAAUUUCAGCUCUGUUCUCCAGUCCAUAGGGGCAAUUCUUCUUAACCCGAUCCCAAAGUCUGCUGCAAACUGUUGUAUUUCAGAGCCCUUGGGAGAGUAUUUCACAAGAUGGAGAUUAGAAAGCAAGAACAGAAAACUGGAAAGUGCUUCGUGGUGUCUCUUUAACAGCUUAGGAUUGAUUCAUUUUAGUAUUUGUGUCUGGGUCUUAUUCACUGCUGCCUCAUAGAUCAAUGGCAUGACGGAGUCCCAGAUCGUGUUGAUGCAGCAUAUGGGAAUGGGAUCCAUUAUCUUUAGUUCCCAGGACUAUAAAAUGUCCAAUAAACUCAGCAGCAAGAACGCUGGAUUUGUGCAGCUCCACCAGCUGCUGGAGCUUUGCUGCCUAUUAAGCUGCGUUUUUAGUUUCAUUAUUGAUGGGGAAUGCUGAUAGCUGAGUAAAUGAUGUUGCCUGUAGAUUUGAGGCACUUUCCCUGCUUAUAAAGGUAAGUCCUGCUACGGUGCCUCCUCUUGCCGAGGGAGGAGGCUUCAUGCUACAGUGAGAAAUCAAUUUAAAUUAGCAUGGGCACAACCAAUCCGUAGUGAUGUCAGCAGCUCAGACCGGUUGCAGGAAUCUGAGCAGCAAGGCUAAGCGCCUCAGUCUCAAAUGCUCAUCCUCUCCACAGACCCCAGGCAGAGCAUCCCUGUGCACAUUUGUUGCUCCAGCAUCACUCUCAGUCUCUUCCCUGGCUGUUUAUGUUACAGUUUGACUUUCCCCUGUUUUUCCCACUCCUGCAAUACCUUUGGAAUAAAUUCCAUAAUCGCUCUGAAAAUGGUGCAAAACCUGAGGUUGCCUAUAGAUGUUGCCGUGGUAGAGUGGUGAGCAGCUCUCAAUUCCAUUUCACUUGUUUCCUUAGCACUGCCACCAUAGGCACACUGCAGUUCCACAUCAGUAUCAGCUUUUAUUGCUUUCUUUACUCAUCUGGGAAACAGAGAUCAAGAACAGCUAUGGCAAGUUAGGCAAUAUCUUCAGCCUCCUGCAUCAUUAGUGUACGUAAGCAUUCUAAUGGAAGUCAGUGUAAGCCAGCUCUUAUUUAAUCCACUGAAUUUUGAUUUCUACGAACAAUCUCCAGGUAUUAUUUCAGUGCAUACGUAGUUGACUUCCUACUGAACCAUCGGCAUCCACUCUUGAGAAGAGAAACCCGUAUCCCACGGGCAGGACAUCCUGCCUGUUCCUGGACAUCAUGGAAGCCAAACUUCUAGUAGCAAUGUUGGUAUGAAUACAAAAGAAAACUUUCCCUGGAGCUUCUCCCGUGCUAAGGUCUGUGCAGGUGGUGAUUAAAGUAGCUGUCACCGUGCUUGUAGCUCAGCUGCUCUUGGCUGGACGCCUGCUGUUACUGCCUGCUGCCCAUGAGUGCCUUCCUCGGGCAUCUGCACCUCUCAGUGCCUGCCAUCAACAGCUGCAGCUCUGGCAAAGUCUGAUAAACACCAGUGCGUUUCUGCCAGCUUUUCUCCAAGGAGCAGAAAGGAAGACAUUCAUGUCUAGUAGAAGUUUACUUUCAAGAGUAUGGAUCAGAAGUCUUGUGCAAACUACUCUCUUAAAUUAUUUAAAAUCUGCUGUAAUUACUGAGUAUUUCAAAAUAUUAUUGGGAAGAACUUCUGGGCACAUCUGUUUUUCCCUUCCCUUCACUGCCACGUCCUCUCAGCUAUUAGGAAUGCUAAAGGAUGGCUUUCAUGAAAAUGAGGGCUAUGGCAAUGACAUGUUUUGACAAAACGUGACUUCUGUGGUCCAGAGGUGGAGGAUUCAUUACCUCCAUCUACAGUUUUUUUGCAGCUUUUCCCCCAUCUUCUUAAAAAUGUAUUCCUACCACCUCAGAUUUGUCUGUCUCGAGCUCCCAGCUAAUGGUUCUUGUUAUCUACCACAUUAAAGAGCUUCACAGUUCCCUCUGUUUCCUUUCUGUGAAGGUAAUGGUACAUUGUAAUCAAGCCACCUCUCGGUCGUCUUUUUGAUAAGCUAAACAGAUUGUGCUCUUUAUGUUUCUCACUCUAAAGCACUUUCUUCAGCUCUUAAAUCAUUUUCGUGGCACUUGCUGCGGCUUUUUCUGUGCAGUCACCAAUUUUAAGUUACACCCUUAUUAAAAAGAUGAACCUGGAGCUGAGCGCAUUGUCAGGAACUGGCCUCAUAUAGACUGCAGGCAACCUAAAAAGCCUGUGCUUGAAUCUACCUGCAUUCCCCUCCUUGUAUACAGGGAUUAUUUCACCUCUUUAGCAUGGCUUCCUCCUGGCAACCUAAGUUCAGACGCUUGUCCCUGUGCAGUUAGUGCAGGGCUGUCCUGCUGCCCUCAGCCUUUACAUCUGUUGGUAUUUAGGUGCAAUUUUUUGGGGCAAGCUUAUUUUCCCCAUCCAUGACUGUUCCAUUAGGCAAUGAAAUGGGAGAAAAGGAAGCCCUUGACUCCUUCAGCGUGGUUGGUACUCCCAGCCCCGUCCCUGUGACAGCCCCUUUUUGACCUGCCCCAUCAGCACAUUAGUGAAGUUAUUUCAAGGUAGUCCCAAAUAGAAAAUGCCUUCACUGUCCCAGUCAGUCCUAGAAAUAUCUCUGUUUGAGUCCCACUCAGAAAUACCUCAUGAAAUCAGUUCUUCAUCCAUCUAAUGCAAUAUUUACUGAUGUUGCAGAGUGCUCAUUUCUUAAUCACCAUGCUGCAGGGCACCAAGCACUGCACCUGGCAGUGGGAGGAGGUGAGCCAUCGCACCAGAUCCAUCCUCAGACAGGGAAGUAUUUUUUGAGACAGGGCUUCUAUUCACAAUAAUGCUGACUGACAUUAAUUAUCACUUAGAAAUCCCUGUCAGCACUUCCAUUUGGCAUAGGAAUAGUGCCAGCAGGCAGCUCCAGCAGUAGGAAUUAACGCCCAGGUCCCCAGCGGCUGCUGCGGUGUUGUCCACGACCGCACAUUGGUGGCAGCAGCGCACGGUGUUGCCCUCCCCUUCCUAACCCCUUGUCCUUCCAAUCAGGUUUGCAGGCUCAAACCCUUGCUUCAUGAGCACGCAGGGUGAUUUAUAAUGGGCUUCAAGUGGGAGGCGCUGGGAUGGCAGUUGCGGCGCUCCCUGCAGCUGGCCAAGCCCCCUCCCCACGCAGCGAUCUGUGUGGCCGCACAGGAGGCACUUGCCCAUUAAAAUGCUGUCAGAGAUCGUCUUUCCGACUUAAAUCAAGGCUGUCGCUUUGGUAGGCGAGAGUUUUCGAGGUGUCCGUCUCUUCAUUCGUUGGUUGUUUUUGUGUUGUGUUUUUUUUUUAUCCUGUCCUUUCCGUGUUGUUAUUGCUUCCAUUCCUUAAAGCACUGCAAAUUGCAAGCCUGUGGCUUGCCGUGAAGGCAUGCUGGUAAAUGAUUUAUAGAGGGUCCUACAAAUCAUGUUGCACUGAGCGCAACCCCUUCCCCCACAGCACCAGCCAUCAUUUCAGUGCCGCUCAGCCUUCAAGGGAACUAAGCUGUCCUUUCCCUGCUGAGAUUUAGGAAGCCAAACAGCACAAUGCAGCUAAACGUGAGAGUAAACACGCCACAGUAACAGCCUGGCAUUUAAGUUUCAGCAGGGCUUAAGAUGGCCUUGCUUAUCAGUGGAAUUGUGUUAUGACACCAGCCGGUGUCCAUAUACAGUUCUGAUGCUUUUACAGGCACAAAAUAAAAGCCCAAUAUAUGAAUAGGACUUCAAACACUAAAAGAUGAGUAGAAAUUUCUGAUAGUGAAAUGAACUGCUGUAUUAAUUGUGCCCUCAGCCCUCCCCAUCCAGGCAGACCACGAGCACUCUUUGGCUUACCUCAGGACUUUCUGAGGGCCGGUGAAUGCUGAAAGCUGUCAAACGUGGCUCCACAGGGCGUGCCAGAGUAUCCACGUAUACUGAAUGCUGGAGAUCAGAGGCAGGGAAAGAUAUCUCAUCCUGUCCCAAGUCUCAAAAUGCAGAGAAAGGACACUCUUACCUGGUGGGUGAGCAGAGGCUGUCCAUGGUCUGAGGAUCUCACUUGGUCUCGGCUGGUUUUGGCACAAAGUGCACGUGGAGAGUCACCCAAUUAUCCAUGUUGCCAUUCCACUCCCCUUGUUCCCCAUGCUGACUGUAAACUCACAAAGCAAUCUGAGUUGGGAGGGACUCGGGAUCACCCCAGUCAACUCCAGCACCUCUUGGCCUACCCAGUGUCUCUUGACCCACAUAGCAGCAGGGAAGAGGCUGGUUCAGCCCUGCUGGCCCACCCUGCAGAGAGCUGCUCCAGGUUCAGAAUGCAGAGCUCACAUUUUGCCAGCUCUUUUGAACGUGGGAACUCCGAAGAGUUCAUGCAAUACAGUAUCAUGAAGAAAACAGUUCUGGUGCUUGGAAAGAGACAAUUCACCAUGCAGCAAAACAAGUGGAUCACAAUUUAGACAAAAUAUUUUCCCCUGCAAGUGCCCAAAAAGUAGAAAUGAAAAGUUUUUGUCUUUUUUUUUUUUAACUAAUUAGAAGUUCCUCUGUGACUGGGAGUGGAGUGUUCAUCAGGAAGUUACGGCCUCUUAAAAAUAAUCAAAAUGUUCCAGGAGCUACAGACCAAAGCCUCAGCAAGAUGCACCACUUCCAUGUUGGAAAAGUGAAUUCCAGCCACUGUGAUACUCCAUCUGAUGAGAACACUUAGCUGUGAUGGGGUGAAAUAAAGUGCUUUAUUAUACUGAAGUGAGCCAUGCUGGGAGUGUUGGAAUACGGUUAAUGCAAGUACAGGGAAAUUAUACAGCAUCCGCUUUGACUUUCUGAUUUCCUCUAAUGGACACAUGGCCUCCAGCCCAAGUGCUCAGGGAGCUUUGUGCCAUGCCGUUUCCCCAGAGAGCCAUGCUGUUUCUCCAGUUAUUAGGUGGGCUUUUCCUCCAGAGGCCCUAGCAGCAACAGACUCAUUCACAAAUCUGGUGUUUGCAGCUGAGAAUUGAAAGCACUGGCAUCUCAGGGCCGGCAUCCCUCCCUGCAAUCUGUUUUUUCUUUAACAACACAUUAAGCAUUAACUGAUGUCACCUGUACUCUGCAGGAAAGGCAGCAAAUCCAGCACUUCCCCAUGAGAUUUUGGCUGCGGGUUCUUUUAGUUCAACGCUCACCCUCUGACCACAGUUAUUUUCUCUCUUUCAGAUCCAUCUCGGUUCCCCAGUUUGAUACUUCACUGGUGGAUGCAGCAGCACAUUGAGCUGCCCAAGAACUGCAUUACUGGUGCAAAAGGCUACUGAACAUACAAUGUAUGCAUAUAUAAACAUUUACAAAGGGGCUUGUAAAAAAAAAGCCUCUUGACAAGCCACCGCCUCCACCGCCCCAUCUGCCCUCCUCUCCCUGCCAGUCUAUGUCAACAACUUGCUCACCUCCCCUCCAGCACAGUAUGCUCUCCUCCACCAUGUCAGUCUCUCUUCCCAUCCAUCCUUGGGCCGUUUUCGCCCUGCCACUCCUGAACGGGGCAUGAUGUGCAGAGCUGUUGUUAACAGUCUGGCUUCAGAUUUGUCUUGGUUUUCUUGUCCAGGCAACAGGGAAAUGCAUACAGAAGCAGUCUCCUAGGAAAACCAACCGUGAAAAAUGCAGCUUAAGAAGCAAUAAAAGAGUUCCCUGCCAUCCCGCAGGAACCAACAGGAGAAUUUACAUCUCCUACCGAAAGCUUCCCAGGGGCAUCUCUGUCGUGGUCCUCAGUGGGGCCACGCGACCGUCCCAUGUACUGACAACCUCCACAUCCCUCCUCCAGGGCCUUCUCCACCUCCUCUCCACCCCACGGUAAUUUCCCGCUCGUUGCCUUCUGUCACAGUUCUCACUCGCCUUACAGGAUCCUGCUGACAUCCCGUGGCACCCAGCUCUGGGACUGCCACCCCAAAACCUCCCGUGUGCAAGCAGUCUCUGCACUGGCGUGCAUUCACUGGAGUCUCUGUGGGACUUCUGGUCUUAUUUCAUCCAGACAUUGAUGUCACUUCCAAGUCUGUUGCACUAAAUUCAAGGGCAAGCUAACAUUUAGGCCUGCUGCUGUUGGCACUGGAAGCCUCAAAUGUCCCUGUUGAAUACUCCCUGGAGUGUGUGGACGAGAUAUGCCAGGAAGGUAUCCACCCAUGUGGGUCAGCAGGGAAAGCCCCAUUAGCACUACCAUCAGCACAGGGUCUUGCAGGAGGGUUUAGUGUCCCCAUGAGCCAUAAUAUUAGGAUAAGGUUCUUCGCCAGAAGGUGGUAGGCAUGGAACAGACUCCCCAGGGCAGGGGGCAUGACCUCGAGCUGCUGGAGUUCAAGGAACAGAUACAGGGUUUGAGGUUUUGGGUGGUCCUGUGUUCAGCUGGGAGCUAAUCUUGGUCCUUUAGGGUCCCUUCCAAUUCAGGAUAUUCUUUGAUUCUAUGAUUCUAUGAACCCCUUAGGGCUGUUCUGGCACUUUUUGGGUUGCAUGGGAGAAGGGAGGUGGGGCCUUUGCAGGCUUUUACAGAAAGAGCUUUCUUAUGGGGGCUACACAUGCAGGCACUGCUCGAGCUGUCCCCUGUGCUCAGAAAAGCCUGGGUGAGGGCAAAAAGCUGCACGUGGCCCUAAGUGCCCCUUGUUCCCCACUGUGGGGACAAAGGCAUGGCACAGCCUUGACAAGUUUGUAUACAGGCAUACUUCCCUGAAAGCCAUUUCUCCAAAGUCUUUGUAGUUUUGUUUUUUGUUUUUUGUUUUUUAAUCUCAAGCUCCUUUUCCUGCUUUACAUCAUGCUUUCCAUUUUAGAGAUGUCAGAUGAUCUGUGAUAAAGUGACAGGAUGUGCAGGAGCAGUGAGGAGACGAGGUCCAUUUUAAUGAGACUAACUCUACUGGGUAGUGCAGACCGUGCCUCAACAAGCCCUUGGAUCUUGUUUCCUUUUGCAAAGCGUCUUAAUGGCAUAAAAGGAUUUUUGCACAAAUAAGGAAAGGCAAUUCCCCAAACAGAUUUCUUUCAGUGGCCAUUGAAAUGGAAAGCUGCCACCGAGAAUUGCAUGAUCCUCUCUAAGAGGUAAGCACAAUCAGAAAUCAGUAUUGCUUGGCUCCCAAAAAUGGACUGAAAUACUGUGGAAUUAGCAGCGUGUUUGCUGGAGGCUCACCAUUCACUCAGCAGGUCCUGCCUGCUGGCACUGAGGUGUAAUGACACGUAAUAUGGUCUCACCCAGCACUACUUACCUAUGACCCAUUCCUGCAGGCAGCUUGGAUGCAAAGCAGGAAGAGUGGGGACUUAUAGCAAGGUGCAAGGGAAAUAUGAGAAGGCCCCAUGCUGUUCUCCAGCCUUUUGUUAUUUUGUCAGCUGAUCUUCCAGGCUGUUAUUAGAAUUUCAGGCAGACUGGGGUCAUGCUUCACAUUGGCUACAGCAUCAGGUAAAUGCAAAAGGACAACUAGUCCUGGUCAAAGUUGCAAGGAAGGGUUUCUAUCAAUGGUAUAUUUUUAACCUAGACACCACUAGUUUAAUAUGUUCUGGAACAUCUACAGAGAAUCACUUUUAUGGGAUCUAUUUUUUAAAUCUUGCUUUCCAGGGAAGUACUUUUUUUAUCUAGUAUUUCUUCCUAAGCUACUAUUGGAUCCGAACACAUGAAUUCUAAGAUUUUCUGGGCAAUGUUGUGAAAAAGUGAGUAGACGAACAGAAGAUGUAAAAUACUCCUGACUGCCUAAGAGUUAGGCCAUUCAGUCUACUGGAAUGCGCAUUUAGGAAUGGUUUGUUCAGGUCUGCAGGAAAUCUUAUUUAGUUAUUUUUUAGUAUUAAAAAUAUAUAUAUAUUCUGAUCUUAACUUGCAUUUCUGACUACAAAUGACUCCUGUAUUUUUUUCAGGUAGGUCCGACUAUCACUCCAACUAUGAUCUAUUCUGGAGCUUUCUCUUUGUACAUAAAAGUCAGAUUUAUAUAAAUAGAUGCAGGAAAUCUCAUAUAGCCAGUGAUGAGAGGAUGUUAACCAAUUUUUAAAGGCCUGAUCAGAACAACUAUAGAGAAGAGGUCAAUACUAACUGUUAUUCCAAGUGUUAAUCUUGACUCCAAUAAUACUAGAUACUAAAACAGGUUCCCAGAUAAGAAUUGCAAAUCUCGCAUUUGAGAAGAAAGGAAGUGUGAUCCUAGAAAACAGAUGCAGAGCCCUCCAGAUCUCUGCAAGCAUCCAAUCUUUACGCGUUUGAUCGAUAGCUUUAGCAGUGGGACAGAUGUGUGAUGUAUUCAUUUUCAGAUCUUUCUAGGGAAGGGAACAAAACAACAUUAAAAUCUCCCGCCGCUCGUCAGUGAGUAGAUGGCAUUCUCCACGGGAGGGGCAGGCAGCCUGCCUUGUGGACAGCCGUACCUACAGGUACCUUUUUUGAUUAUGGGAAAGGCAGGAAGGUGACAAAGCUCUGCUUUCCAUUCACUGGGACAACUGGCAAGGCAAAUAAACAGGGCAGGUGGGCAUGCACCCAAAAACUGAGGAGUGCUGGGGGAACAUCAAUAUCAAGACAAUACCUGAAGUGAUGAAGCUGUGAUGGGCAGACCUGGCCCUCUCUCUUCUGACAGCCAGUAUAGAUAGCUUUUUCUGUUCUCUAUUACACUUUUAGAGAUCCCAACCAUCACUCGCAGCAGCUUGGGAGCAAAAAAGCCCAGGGCCUUUGGGUACCACAGAUCUCAUCAAUAGAUCUUCAAACAGCAGGGAAAUGCCAGAGGCCGUAUGGCUUACAGUCAGUGGCAAUUACUGUCCAGUGCCAUGAAAAUUGCAUGAAGAAGGAGUUAGCAGCAUCACAGCAACAGAACUGCUUAUGGGUUCUUUGUGACCCUCUCAGAGCCAACCAAAGCAGCCCCCAGGCUUCCAUACAACAUGAUAUAGAGGAAAUUUUGGCGAAGCAUCAAAAAAAGCCUGCCCGCAUAGUGCACCUGCACAUCUUUGAUGCCCUAGAAGGAAGUCUCUGUGUUCUGAUAUCACUUGAGCCUCCACAAAGGAGAUGAAAAGGAGGAAUAAAACAUCUGAACAGCCCUAUCUGACCUGAGCUGCACACAUUCAUUACAGCAAAGAUGGAUUUCUUCUGGAUCCUCCUGUGUAUCCUCCUCCUUGGGGAUGGCAGCAAGCAUCUCAACGCUCCAGUUACAAGAUAUUCAUGUUAAACAGAGAAGAGGGACAGCCAGUUGGUGACAAACAUUUAGGAUAUAGCUUCGGAGGAUCUUCACAACCUGCAGAAGGAUUAACUGCAGUGACCAUCAUGGCCCCACUCCUCACAAGUCUUUGGCGUACGUCAGCUCCUAGCAGGCAGCCUCACCAGGGCUUAAAUCCCCCCAGCUGCUGCAAAAUGGGACCAGAGGCCCCAGCUUAGCUGCAUCUCAGCUCCAAGCCCUGUGGCACAGGGCUGCACCAGGAGCACUGCUCAUGCUGAUCUGUGGAGGCUGCUUGAAAGCAUCUGAUGCUCAUGGCUUAGAGACAGCACAGUCCCUUCCAACUUCCUGGAGUUUUUGCCUUUGUUUUCUCCCCUACUCAAAUGGAAAUGAAAAUGCAGGCUAAGAAAAAUGGCAUGAAUAAUACAAACUGGGGGCCCUUGGGAGAAAAUUUCAGUUUUGGAAAGUCACAACACUGCAUGGAUGUGUCUUGCUAUCAGAAGUUUACCUGGAUUUUCUUAACUCUUCUUGCAUGCAUGUAUUUCUCUGCUGCCACGCAUGGUCCUUUCUCCUUAUUUAAUUAGGGUAUAAUCAUAAGCAUAUUCCUAAAUUAGAAGAAAUAUAUAAAGAUUCAUCCAUUCAGCAGGCAUUUUUCUGGGAAAAUAGAUGUUCUCCUUCAGGUAUUGGCUUUCUUCAGUUUUGUUUCUCUAUUUUUAAUUUAAAGGAACUUCUCUUAUGUUUUAUUCACUUGUUUUCAUUAGGUAAAAGAAUGCCUUGGCAUGAAAACCUGUCCUGAAUGCACUGCCUGCUUGACAGAUAUAUACAAAGACUUGAAACCUGAGAGGAGAAGCGGAUGGUUGCAAGCAAAAAAAAAAAAAUCUAAACAAAAGAAUGGAAUUAAAGCCAGCACCGGGGCACGUAUUAAUACCAUGCGGCUGUUAUUGCCCGCACCGAUUCCUAGGAGCGAUGCAGAGCAUUGUGCUCAGCAGGAUAAGACAGACAGACCUCGAAUAUGAACCCCCACUGCCUUCUAAAGAGGUAGGGCCGUCCUUCUUAUCUCCGGAUUGAUCCUGACCAGUUUACUGCGAGAAGCUGCUGCUUGAAUUUCAGAUGUUGAGUGCUGGUAUCUGCAAUUGGCCAUGCACGGUAAAUCACAUGCUAAUGUUGCUCUGUCUUGACUGGAUGAGAAUAAACAUCAUAAUCAGGAAAAGGCCUUGGAGGAGCCACAGCGGCUCUAAAUCUCUCAGGGAGCAGCGGCAGUUUUGGGAGAGGCGGCUGAUAAAAGCGGAUUAGGGAAUUUUAGAAAAUUUAAAACCCGCUCCUUUCUGGGCCACACAGGCUCUGCCCAGGGUGUCAUCGCUGGGAAAAUUAGGCUGCUGGGAAAUUUAUUGCCAGGGCACUUCAUUUCCAUUUCAAUUUCUCCUGUUCCAGUUCCACAUGUGUGCCCAGUCCAGGGCUGUGAUCAGAUCCUGCUCUCCUGCCUUAACCAGCACCAGCCUUCAGAGUGCUAAAGCCAACUGCAGGCUGCUCUUCCAGCCACUCGAGGAAAGGAAGGGCAGCCAGCAGGCCUUACAGGGGUCGUUUAUUGCUCUUUUUGUCGUAUUCUCAUCCUUACAGGAUUUCCCAUGGCCAAUAAGUUUUGCUCAGGAGCUCAUCCCAGAAGAGGUAGGCACAAGGCAUGGACCCGGCAUCCUGUGGCAGGCACCAGUGGGGCACUGCUGGGCUCUGCAGCUCCAUUUGCCCCCCAGCCCAGGUGAUAUUAAGCUGCUCCCAGUUGGGCUGGAAAGUCUGAAGAUGUUUGAGGAAUGGAAGAAUGGCAAACAAUGAGAUUGCUGGUGAUAAAGCAAUUCUGGAAAAUGGAUGAAUUUUCUUCAGAAGAUCCACUUCCUUGUCACCCCUGCCUCUCUGUGUUCUGCUGAUGUUACCCUCUGUAACAAAGAGGUCACCAGCAGGAAGAUGUGCGGGAAGGGGGAUUGGUAGGUGGAUAUUCCUAAACAUCUAGCACACCGCCAAGCACAGGGCAGGAACAUGCUGCAUUAGUUCUGGGCUGAGCAGAGUUAGACAAAAUAGCUUGAAAAAUUGAAUGUACUUCUUUGUGGAGGAGUCUCAGACCUAGCACGGAUGUCAUGAAUAGAUGAAAUUAUGUCUAAAUUUGAGAAGAAAAAAAAACCUUCCUCUGAGGUGUGUCUUGCAACUGCAAAUGAGGCAUAACUUGAAUAAUCUAUCAACUAUGAUGAGCUGCUAUUAGCAUUUGAGUUACAUUUCCCUCGAAAAGUCAGGAGGGGCUGCAGCCCCAGAUUAGGGGUCCCUCCUGACAUGUAAAUAGGUAGCACAUAUGGAAAUGGAGUUGUCCCGAGUGUCACCACCUCGAGGUGAAUGAUAGCUAGAGGUGGAAGAGUGGAGAAUAAAUGUUACUGCAAGAAAAGCUGGUGAAUUUUCUUUUGAGAGACUGAUAAUCCCGCAGGCUUCUACAGAAGCAGCUUUUGAUUAUCAUUGCUGAUGAUAUUAGAAGACAUCUCUGGAGUCUGUCCUUUAAAAAAUGUUUCCCUGGUGCUACUUGAAAACAUAUGGGUUGGGAACUGAAGUGAAAAACUGAUGUUUUGCUAACUCUCUUGGCACGAUGGAGGCUUAAAAAUGAUGUGCCUGAUACCAGAGAUGCAUUUUUAACAGUAAAUGAAAGCAGACUGGAUAAAAAUUCAAAAUACUAGACUGGUAAAUGCGUGUGAGAAAAGAAGUUGGAAGAAGAAACAGGGGCUGGCUAAAGGACCAGAUGAGAAAAGGUGGAUCAGUUCAGCUGGGCUGAACAGGAGCAGAGCUAUUUGAGUUGCUUCAACACACUGAAGGCGCAGACACACACCAGCAACUUACAGAGGGAGCUGAGUAAGCCAGGUCUAACAGUGUACGUUCAAAUGCACCACUUUCCCAAGGGCUUCAUCAAGUAACGAUGGACAAGCUCAGGCUGCCACUUGUAUGGUAACAGCUUGGAUGGGGAAGAUGGAGCCAGCUUCUUCAGUCUAGAAUCUAAUCCAUGCCAGACAGUGGUCUGUAGAUGGCUGCGGUAUCUAACACAGGCACAGCACCUGGAGAGAAGUUCAUGCCCCAUUUCCAAUGGCUCUUAUCUAUAAAACUAAACCUAUUUCCAGACAACAUACAUUAUAAGUGCGUCUUAUACUGGAGCUGGAUGAGGUUAGUUUUGCUGAUUCAAUAGAAUCACAGAAUCAUUAAGGUUGGAAGAGACCUCCAAGAUCAUCCAGUCCAACUGUCCACCUGCCACCACUAUUCCCCCAUUAAACCAUGUCCUAAAUACCACAUGUACAUGUUCCCUGAACACCUCCAGGGACUGUAACUUCACCACCUCCCCGGGCAACCUGUUCCAGCACCUGACCACUUUUUUGGAGAAGAAAUUUUUCCUAACCUGAAAAGGUUGGAUAGGUUAUAAAGACCAACCAACCAAACACAAAAAAAAACAUUAUGCUGAUACCACUUUAGUGUCUUCCCUGUGAAAAAUGGUGGCCCUCAACAAGGGAAAAGCUAGAUAGGUUUCAUCCCAUCAGCUCCACCAACUGUAAAAAAAUGAAUCUGUUGAAGUUGCUGCAGAAAAACUUUUGACAAAAAGAUACUUUGAAAAAGUGCCGAAUCUGCAGAAUCAUUGGAUCUCUUGGCUGAUCAUGCAUUUUCUGAGCCUCUGCCAGUAAUUACAGUUUCUGAAAACUUCUGAAAGCAAAAAAGUGUUCCCUUCCACGGCUUUCUGUUCCACCACUUUGCCUCUUUUGGGUCCAUUAGUCAGCACAUGCAUACCCCCACAGUCAGGUGACCAGCAGAUUGGUGCUACAAAACCGCUUUGCCUUCCAGAGUGUCAGGUGAUGAAAUUUAGGAGGUUUGGGUGUAGUCAUCAGACAAAAUAGCCAACUGCUGAUGAGGUAGGAAUCCUGUGCCAGCAUGGGCAAACUCAUCACCUAUUUAAUUUCUGUAACCAGGUCAGAUAUUUUCCCAGGAAAUGUUCAAUACAGAUGCCAAAACAUGCAUUUUUUGUAUAUGGUGGUUACAGUGUCUGCUGAAGCUAUAAAGUUCUGUGGUAUCCUGAAGAAAUGGUAGAUCCUAAAGACAGCUUUUGCUCUUAGCCACAACCAAUUAGCAGUAUCUAUUUCUGAGUUUUCCCAGGCCCUGUUUUAACAAUCUCUAACUAGGAGCUUAACCUCUGUUCCAAAAACUGAUGUGGGUAAAAUGCACUUAACAUUGCUCACAAUUCUUACAAUGGACAGAACAGGUUUUGCAUUUGGCUACACAGAGAAGUUCUAUAUCAGUGAUUUUAGGAGCUAGGAUUUCUCCAGUUGCGACUCAAGCCAUGACUUCCCAUUAAAAGAAGCCUUUAUGCUUCUUCAUCCAAGAGACAGAUCAUGUUCUGAGAAAAUUCAAACUAUUUUAUUCUAGCCUAUGUCUAAAUUGAACAAUAAAAAUUGUUAUCCUUUAUGACCACCAACCAAUAAACUGACCUGGUGAUAGGGAAUUUAGUCAAUCUUCUUCCUUUGAAACGACAGCUGAAAUAGUGAUACAGUCUCCUGUUUGAGGGCAGGAGAGGAGGAAGGAUUGGAAAAGGAUGACUGACAGACAAAAAUCUUGACCUUGUUGCAACACCAAAAUGCUUCCCAUUAACUUCUGGACGCCGAGCUCUCCCCAUCAUGUCACGCUUUCUAGGAAGCCUUCAUAAAAUCAGGAUAAAUGACAGUGGAGUGUGAGGAGUGCUCCCCAGCUCAUUGAAGGAAGAAAAUGGAAUGAAUGUGCAAUAAUAAUGGAAAAAAUGGAAUGUUUGGAUAAGGAUAAAUGGGCUGUGCUUCCACAGCUCACUUUUCCAGGCACAAUGCGCUCGUGGCUGCCAUAUGUGACAGGCUUCAUUGGAUCCUUCAGGACAACUCAGUCUCAGCUAGAAGAGAUUGCACCAAGCAACUUAGUUGGUGAUGCUUAGAAUCCAUUCUGUGCUGCUUCAUGGACAGCUCUAAACCCCGUAUAGAUGGUUGGUGCAGAACUGGGAGGUCACAAAACCAGCUACCAGAGACAUAUCUGAGGCAACAAAGAAAUGAAUGCACGUCUGGCUACUGAGGCAAAAGGAAAAGUGCCAGUUACGUGUGUUGUUAUGGCAAGAGUACUUUCAGAUUAAGCGGUAGGUUGAGGUGGUUAAGCUCGGGUUCUAAGGCGGGGGCUGGACUGCUGGAGGCACCAUUCUUCUCAAUUCCUUUGAGAAAAGGUUUAGGUUGAGAAACAAGAGCAGCCCUGCUCGCUUUUAAUCAUCUGAAUGUGGAGAAAGGAGAGAAGGUGGAGGCUUGGUAAGAAAAAUAUGCAAAGCUUAAAAAGUUCCAGCUGCCGUUCUCUAAUGGAGGCUUGGUUCCUCAUGAACGGUGGAAUAGUUAGGCCACCUGGUGGUAAAAGGCAAGCCAACAACCUCGCAAUUUCUGAGGCACAAUAAAAACCCCGAGGAGCAGAGAGCGCAGGGAACCGUCAUAGGCUGGUGCGCAGCCACCGCUGGGAGAUGGCCGCCAGCCGUGACCUCCCUCAGCUCAGAGCAGAACAGGGGGAGCCUCCUUCCAUCCCAGCCAGCUCCUGCUAUGCCGGGGAGGGAAGCAAAGCAGAAAGCAAUCCAAGGACAUCUGAACCUAGUAAAACUGCUAUCCAGAAGUACUGCAAAGUGUCAAAUGUAAAUGCAGAGUGCAGAAGAGAUGUUGGCCCUACUGGCAGGGGUCCUUCACAGCGCUCCCAAGUGCCAACAUCUAAGAACCGAGCUGGACUGGACACCAGGACAAUGCCAAAGAGUGCUCACAGAUGGGCACAGCACAGGCAAAUGAAUGCUAAAGAAAAUCUGGUGGACGAUGUGUCUCUUCUUAACAAAGGAACUAUUGUUUGUUUUGCCCAAUUCUGCCCCCUGGAGCUUUCAUCUGAGCCUUGGGAAAGCAAACUGCCGUGCCCAGCACUGCUCCUGGCUGCUCUCUCCUUGCUGUCCCUGCCUGGUUCCCUCAGUGCAUCCUCCAACACUUGAAAAUUCACCCGACUUGUGACUCACAUUUUAAUCUUAUCCAAGUCACAAUGUUUAUUUCACAGGAUGCCCAAUUAAACAGUAAUUUAGUCUG